CCCUAUUUCAGGUUGAUCUCACCUCUUGGUAUGAAAUCAUACAAUUUCAAAGAGGAAGAUCAGAACCAAUAGAAAGGCGAACGAACCUUGAAUUCCUCCAGAGACUGGUACAUUCCAUCUCUAUGCUUUUGCCUGAGGGUUGCCAAGUCUCCUGGUACAUCUAUGCUUUUCCCCAAAUCAUAAGCCUAAAUAGGAAAGAAGUGAUAGCGCGUUAGCAGUGCUUGGAGUGUUGACAUUUGUAUUGAAUUGCAGACGUCUGAAUCUUAUGUUUUGAAUCAAUUGGAAGAAUCUGUUCGGUCACAGCACUAAGGAGAACUUCAGAGUAUUCAGGCAGCAUAUCGACUUAAUUGAAGGAAUUAUCUGAAGUGGUCUUAAUUGGUUUAAACCAUUCUCAAAGGCAGAGGAAAAAUCAGCCACAUCAUAGGGCUUGGACCGGAUAGGAAUGAUCCACUUUUUGAAGCAUGGGAUGAAGACUCAAUGAUUAUGGCGUGGCUAUGGAACUCAAUCCCAUAAAUCAGCGAUACGUGCAUGUUUUUGUCAACCGCAAAAGAUUUGGGAUGCAAUUCAACAAACCUACUCCAAGGCAAAGGAUGCUGCCCAAGUUUAUGAUGUGAAGGUGAAAACAAUGGCUGCAAAGCAAGGGAACAAGAAUGUUACAGAAUAUACAAAUCAAUUGAAGUUUCUUUGGCAGGAGCUCGAUCACUAUAGGGUGAUUAAAACUAAAUGUCCAGAUGAUGCUGCAAUUCUCAAAGAAUUCAUUGAACAAGACCGGAUCUAAGAUUUUCUUGUAGGACUCAAUCAUGAGUUUGAUCAAGUUAGGAUUCAAAUUCUUGGAAAACCAGAAAUUCCCUGCUUUAAUGAAGUUGUUGCAAUAAUCCGGAGUGAGGAAAGUAGAAGGGGACUAAUGCUUGAUUCCCCGAGUAAUGAUGUCUCGGUCAUGGUGGCAGAUGGUGAUAGCAAUCUCACCAGAGAAGCAAUGAAGAACAAAAAUUCAGAAAAUGGGGAGUCAGGACAAGGACGACCUCAAAACCAUGAUAACUUGUGGUGCAGUUAUUGUAAAAAGUAAUGGCAUACCAGGGAUAGGUGUUGGAAACUCCAUGGCAAGCCACCAAGUCGUGAAUGGGCACCAAGAGAGGAACAAACAAAGGCUAGAAAUGCAAAUGUUGCUGCAAUUCAAGAAACAACAACAUUUCCAUAAGAAUCUAGUGGAUUCAACCAAGAAGACAUUGAAAGAUUGAAGACUCUCAUCAAUAGCCUGGAAAAAUCCUCGGGUACUUGUUCCUUGGUGUCUUCAGGAUGAGGAUUCGGGGAGGAUGAUUGGACUUGCUAAAGAAAGGACGGCCUCUACUACCUUGGCAUAUCAUCCCGAUCGAACAUUAACUGGGGCGGCAGUCUACCUUAUUCUCUAAUAACCAACCGUUCUUCCUCUAACAAAGGAAAAAUUUGGCUUUAUCAUCAUCACCUUGGCCAUCCCUCAUUUAGAGUUUUACAAAUCUUGUUUCCUUUUCAGUUACCAAUUUGAUUAUGUGAAUGAUUAAUUUGCAAGUCUGGUAAAACUGCUUUGAAUUGGGUAUUAAUUUUAUCUCAGGAAGAUACUUUUUUUGGUGCUUUGUAGGUAUUUUUCAUUUUUACAUAUAGCUGUGUUUGUGAUUUUGGCGUCAUUAGCCAUUGUGAUGCUAGAAGUUUUUUUGGUAGUUACUCAAAAUUAGGAUGAUUUUUCUGAUUUGUUGGAAUAAUUUUCUGAUUUGUUUGGAUCCCAUAAAUUGUGGGAUUAAUUUAGGGUUAAUGUGUGUAUAUAUGUGCUGCCCAUUGUACUCCAAUAAUUAAGAAAUCAAUUCCAAUUCUUCUCACACUUUUUGUUAGUUGUGUUUGUGAUUUUGGUGUCAUUGGCCAUUGUGAUGCUAGAAGUCUUUUUUGCUUUUUUGUCUUCUGGCAUGCCUUAAUUUUUAGAGAACAAGAGCCAUAUAGACGCACUGACUAAUCAAAAUUUUCUUGAUGUAUUAAUA